rnacentral:lncRNA from 1 species
GGAGAGAGAGUACAAACGGGGAGCAGCAGGCAGAGGGACAGCGAGAAGGGAGCCCAAUGUGGGGCUCCAUCCCAGGACCCUGAGAUCAUGACCUGAGCAGAAGGCAGACAUUUAACCAACUGAGCCACCCAGGUACCCCCAUUUUUCUUAAAAAAAUUGAUAAAAUCUUUUUUAAAAUAUGAAAUAGAGCUUCUGAAGAUAACGUACCAAUGUGAAAAAGAUAAUUUUUAUUAUUUUUGAAGAAAUACAUCUGGAAACAAGUAUCUAUGAACACUAUAAUUACAACUUUGUUCAAAAACAUGGGAAAAGAUGAAUGAAAAGAUGCUAAAAAUAAUCCCUAAAUGCUAAAAAAUAAAAUGUAAAAAUAAAAAAGAUAAAUGUUUCUCUCUAUGUACUUAGGUCUGUGUAAAUCUAUAAAUGCAUUACAUAAUAGAGAAAUUGAAUCAUCACUCUCAGAAGCCCAAACCAUAUUAUUAGUAUCAUUUUGGGUAUGAUGAGAGAACUAAUAGCAGUGUUUGGAGGUAAAUUCAAGGUUAUUAGCAUUAUUUAUACAUUCAAAAAAUAUAUUUAUAUUGUUUGAGUGCCCACUACAUGCAACACCAGAAGUGAUCUUUCAAGCUAAACUUGGAAGAGUCCACCACCUGAUAGGACAGUCACUGGUUGAUGAUGUCACUGAACUCCUCCCUCUACCCAAAUAAGUCCCAGAUCUGGUUACACCAGCUGUUCAAGCCACUGCCCUUCUCUGUCUUGUUUGUCACGUUGACAGGAGCCCAGGAUAUACAAGCUCUCCUCUUAUCCCUCUGUCUCAGCGUUGUCCAGACUCAAGUGAGGCCACCUUUCAUGCCUGGUCAGAAAAGGUCAAUCCCUUUUGGAGCCAAGAAGAGGAGAGGAGCAAUCAAACCAGUCUGGGAUGAAGAGAGGGCCCAGGACUCAAAUUCUGCUCCACAAGAGCACAGACUCGAUGGAUAGGCCAGCAGAAAUACCUGGAUUUAUAAGGUAGGUGUCUGUUUAAUCUCCAGUAUUCAAACUUUUCAUCGAGAAACAAAAAAAUUGAGAAAACAGAUGCUUACUUGGAAAAAAACUAGCAAGAAUGAUUUGUGGGUCAGUUCAGAUCCACCGGGAAGCAGAGGCCAAGACAGAAUUACAUGAGCAAGAAAUGUACUGGGGGAUAUGUCAUAAAGAAUAAAGGAGAGGGGUGCCUGGGUGGCUCA